CGAGACGCUUUAAGAAAGCAUGUUCAAUCAUCGACCUCACUAACCAGGUUGGAACAAAUCUAUUCCAAAUCUCAAGAAAACUCAAUGGGUAAAUAAGGUGAUUGACAAUAUUCAGUGGAAGAUGGAUUUGUUGCAUUUGUUGGAAUUUCCAUAUGUGGGAGAGGUGCAUGGAACGAUGUUUGUUUUGGAUACUCUUAAGCAUGAUGAUGGGUUUCCUCAUGUGU